UGGAAAAAGUUUAUAUUAUUAGUAUUACAAAUCAAAAUUCAUAGGAAAAAAAAAGUACCAUAAAAAAGUUCAUAAUUUUAAAAACAAUUAACCAAAAUAUAAAUUGGCCAAAUAUUGGUAUCGGCUAAUCAAAAAAUGAAAAGAAAUUGGUUGAAAAGUAGGCUGCCACGACCUCUCUAAAAGUCACGAAUUGAUCCCCCAAAACAAAUUGAAAAGUAGCUGCAAAAAUUACAUUUACACCCUACAAUUUCUCAUGGGCGAAUCGCGAUCGAUGGGCCAGCUCUCAAAGGAAAAAGGAAGUUAUUUAAAAUUGGAUAAUUGGUGUAUAAAUACACCAACUUUAUUCACUUUUUUAUACUAGUAUUUAACAUGAAUUUUAAAAUCUAGUUAUAAAUACAUAGAUUUUAAAUUUAUUUAAUUUUUGACCCAUUUUUAUAUAUGAUAAAAUUGAUGCUGACUUGUCAAAAUUAAAACUUAGUUGACAAAAUUAAUCAUCUAACUGACACCUGACUAAGAAAUUUCCUCCCCUUCAUUCAAUUUAUGCAAAAAAACCCCUUUCACUUUUACUUAUCUCUAGACUCGCCCUAAGCCGCCUCACUAAAUCCAAGCUUACUAUUGUGUUGAGUGAGGGGCUAUUCACGACAAUUUUUGUUUUGGAGCAUCGACGGCGGCGAUGGUGUGGACGAGGUGUCGUCCUCGUCGGUUUCUAAAGCAGGGGCAGCGGCGAACCACCAUUGGAGGCUGCGCCAUUUUCCAGAGCGAGGGAGCUACUCCUUUCUAGACUGGCGCGUGUCGCGAAAUCUCCAGAUCUGAGAUGGUCUCACCGAUUGUUAGAAACGGCGGCGGCAUAUAUUUCGUAAGUAAGUAAGAAAACAAAAAAACAGGCCCAUUUCUUGAUCAUCAAUUCCCCCAAAUCAAGUCCCCAUUGCUAAAGAUGGGAAGCUGAAAAACCCUAAAAUGGAAGCCUACUCAGCAAUUGAAGCAGCUCCAAGCUGCCCUCGAUGUCUCUCCUCCGACACCAAAUUCUGCUACUACAACAACUACAACGUCUCCCAGCCUCGCUAGUUCUGCAAGGGCUGCCGCCGCUACUGGACCAAGGACGGCUCCCUCUGCAAUGUCCCUGUCGGCGGCGGUUACCGCAAGACCCGCUGAAAGUGCGAGCUGGCGAAAGAACACUGAAAGUUGACCUCCAAGAAUAAACAUGUGAAUGUCGGACUUUCAAUUUGAACGAUCUACCAUGUUCUCAUGCAAUUGCAGCAAGCAAUUAGAUCACGUGGCACAAGGGAUAGUCUUACCACCGAUUGUGACAAGACAGGCUAGUCGACCAAGGCAAUCCUGUAGACGUGGGGGUGGUGAGAGGGCAACACCAUCAUCUACAAUCCAUUCGGACUUAGCCAUUUAGUAGUUAGACGUCGGGCACCAAAGAAACGCAGUGUGUGCGGCAUCGUGGGACACAAGUGUAGGAUGUGUGCAGGAAGAGUCACAUAAUAACUUACCUUAUCGAUUAAUCGUGUUAUUUAAUAGCUGAAAUUGAAAAAAUAAGCUCGUAAUUUUUUAUUCGUUAUUUAUUUUUUAAAAUAAA